rnacentral:lncRNA from 1 species
CACAGGCAGGAAACCAGUCUUUACUUCCCCUUUCUUUCCCCGCAGCCUCAUCCUGGGGAGCACCGCGCUGUGUGCAGACGUGCCUCGGGCAUGGCGAGAAGGAGCUGGGAUGCCAGGGGUGCUGGUACCCUGCUCCUGCUGAGCUGGCUUGCAGGUGCCAGCAAGAUAGAGACAGAGACCUGCAGCUCCCCAGGUGACUUUUCCCCACCAGCACUCUUCUCAAACAGCUCUUCAGCUCAGGAAGGCGACUUGGUUCUUGCACGCUGCUUCGUAUUUUCCCACUUCCCCGUCGCCCGCAUCUUCUUCUGCAAGAAUGGGGUGGAGCUGGCAAACCACCCAGUCAGGAAAGGGCAGUUCACCUCCACGCUCACCUUCCAGCUCUCCCCAGAGAGCAGUGGCACCUACUCCUGCGGGUACCUGCGCCUGAGCAGCCUCGGACAGGUCAAGCUUUCGAGGCUGAGUGUCCCGUGGUUCCUGAGUGCCGGAGGUAAGUGGAUUAGGGCAAAGGGAGGUUUUCCCUGCCCCAUAUCGGGAACACCCCUUGAACAACCCCAGAAGUGGCAGCCCCUAUUGCAUAGGCUCAGGGGCCCUGCAGUGCCAACCCCGCUAGGACCUUACCAGCAAGACCAGCCUGGUGCAGCGAUGCUCCUCGCUAACCAUGGUAGAGCAUCCUGGGUCCACCCCAAAAUCCCUCUGUUUGUCUGCACUCUGGCAAUGCCCACAACAUGGCAAGGACAGGGUGGUUUGGGGGCAACCCCUUCUCUGCAUGUUUGUCCCCCAGGCAGGAAGGAUGUUCCAAGGAAUGACAGCCUUGCCCCGAGCCCGGAGCUGGCAGCUGAAGGGCUGGGAGUCUUGGGCAGCCUGGCCUUUGUGGUGUUCUCCUUCCUGGCUCUGGCUCUUGCGGUCCAUCUCUUGCUGCAGAUAGGAAAGCGAGUCCAGCUGGCCAGGUUGAAGGCUUUCAUCUCCCGCUAG